rnacentral:lncRNA from 1 species
GGCGCGCGUAGCCGGUGGACAGCAAAAACGCGCCGCGGAGACACCUGGGAGGCAUCGUCCGCGUGGGAGUGCGCAUGCGCAGACGCCCGGCCGGCGACCGAAGGUGAGGCUGGUGGGUCCCGCGGGCGCGGAGAAGGCGGGUGACGGUGUGACCCGUAAGGAAGGCUGAGGAGGGAGGCGGGAGCCUGGGCUGGGGAAAGCAAGAAGGGAAGAGGAGCAACCUGGGACGAGGAGUUGGCUGGAGGAAAUCUUUAGCUCUCAUGGAUUGGGAGCUGGGAAAGGAAUGAGAAGACAGAAGUCAGAGACAAGAAGAGGCUAACAUGACUGAUACCACUAUAAUUUAGUGU